GAGUUGGUCGUGGCGCCGUCACCCGCGUGGUGACGUCAUCGCGCGAAGAGUUGGUCGCGGCGCCGUCACCCGCGUGGUGACGUCAUCGCGCGAAGAUCUUUGGUCGGAACGGCGCCGUCACCCGCGUGGUGACGUCAUCGCGCGAAGAGUUGGUCGCGGCGCCGUCACCCGCGUGGUGACGUCAUCGCGCGAAGAGUUGGUCGCGGCGCCGUCGCGCGACAUCGCGCAGUUUUCAAGAUGGCGGCUCGUUGCUUGGCGGCGGCGCGGGACAUGGUAUAAGUGAGCUCUCAGCAUCCAAUCUUCCCAUCAGUGGCAGCAAUGCAACAUUGUGGAUGCCAGCUGCCGUAAAACUCCAAAGAAGAAGAAGAAGAAGAAUCUUUCCAUCACCUUUGGAAGCUAAAGAAGCCAUUAUGAGACUGAGAAACAAGAAUAAAACUGUUAGAGACAUCAGCUAAACCUUAGGCUUACCAAAAUCAACUGUUGGAACAUCAUUAAGAAGAAAGAGAGCACCGGUGAGCUUACUAAUUGCAAUGAAACUGGCAGGCCAAGGAAGACCUUCACAGCUGAGGACAGAAGAAUUAUCUCAAUAAUAAAGAAAAAUCCCCAAACAUCUGUCCAACAGAUCAGAAACAUUCUUUAGGGGGUCAGGUGUGAAUUGGUCAAUGACCACUGUCUGCAGAAGACUUCAUGAACAGAAAUACAGAGGCUACACUGCAAGACCACUGGUUAGCCGCAAAAAUAGGAUGGCCAGGUUACAGUUUGCCAGGAAGUACCUAAAAGAGCAACCACAGUUCUUGAAAAAGAUUUUGUGGACAGAUGAGACGAAGAUCAACUUGUAUCAGAAUGAUGGAUAGAGCAAAGUAUGGAGGAGAGAAAGAACUGCCCAAGAUCCAAAGCAUACCACCUCAUCUGUGAAACAUGGUGGUGGGGAUGUUAUGGCCUAGGCAUGUAUGGCUGCUGAAGGUACUGGCUCAUUUAUCUUCAUUGAUGAUAGAACUGCUUAUGGUAGUAGCAUAAUUAAUUCUGAAGUGUAUAGACACAUCCUAUCUGCUCAAGUUCAAACAAAUGCCUAAAAACAAAACAAGUUCAAACAAAUGCGGUUCAUUCUACAGCAAGACCGUGAUCCCAAAAAUACUGCUAAAGCAACAAAGCCAAGUCAAUCACCCGAUCUGAACCCAAUUGAGCAUGCCUUUUAUAUGCUGAAGAGAAAAUUGAAGGGGACUAGCCCCCAAAACAAGCAUAAGCUAAAGAUGGCUGCAAUACAGGCCUGGCAGAGCAUCACCAGAGAAGUUGAGUUACUUGAAGUUAGAGAAAUCAAAAUUAAUUCCACUGUGUUGUAAGCUGCUCAAGUAAGAUAUGAGAUCUUAUUGAAAUGUUGAUCUUAUUGAGGUGUAUAAUCAUGAGAGGAAUAGAUUGGGUAGAUGCACAGAGUAGAUGAAUCAAGGACCUGAGGUCACAGAUUUAAGGUGAAGGGGAAAAGAUUUACUACAACAGGCAGUACUGACAAAUGGCUCAGAUACAGGGGUCAUGGAUUUAAAAUAGUAUUUUAAAGCAUAGUGAGGAAGCGAGCAAAAGGCUAUUCAUGCACACGAUUGUUGAGCACUGCGCCAAAUUAUUUUCAUUUCCAGUGGAAGCUGAUGUCAUAGAAGCUUGCAAAAAGAGAUAACGUAGAAGACAAGCUGAAAGGUUAUAGGGACAAAGCUGAUCCUGGUACUGCCAGCUGCAUUUGUAGGAAGCCAUACAGCCUUCCUACAGUGUAAAAGUCAAUGGUCCUACUCUCAAUAAAACUACAGUGACCUCCAUAAUGUUUGGGACAAAGAUCUAUCAUUUUUUUAAUUGCCUCUGUACUCCACAAUUGGAGAUUUGUAAUAGAAAAAAAUCACAUGUGGUUAAAAUGCACAUUGUCAGAUUUGAUAAAGGCUGUUUUUACAC